rnacentral:rRNA from 1 species
GAUGAACGCUGGCGGCGUGCCUAAUACAUGCAAGUCGAGCGAACGGACGAGAAGGUUGCUUCUCUGAUGUUAGCGGCGGACGGGGGAGUAACACGUGGGUAACCUACCUAUAAGACUGGGAUAACUUCGGGAAACCGGAGCUAAUACCGGAUAAUAUUUUGAACCGCAUGGUUCAAAAGUGAAAGACGUUCUUGCUGUCACUUAUAGAUGGAUCCGCUCUGCAUUAGCUAGUUGGUAAGGUAACGGCUUACCAAGGCAACGAUGCAUAGCCGACCUGAGAGGGUGAUCGGCCACACUGGAACUGAGACACGGUCCAGACUCCUACGGGAGGCAGCAGUAGGGAAUCUUCCGCAAUGGGCGAAAGCCUGACGGAGCAACGCCGCGUGAGUGAUGAAGGUCUUCGGAUCGUAAAACUCUGUUAUUAGGGAAGAACAUAUGUGUAAGUAACUGUGCACAUCUUGACGGUACCUAAACAGAAAGCCACGGCUAACUCCGUG